UGAAAGUGGUAUUUGGUAAAGAUUGUUGAGUUGAAUUUUAUCAUAGAGAUAGGCUCAAACAAUUUUUUCAGUCGUCACCGCGGCCGUCUUCAUAUCAUACAAAAAGAUGAAGUUGUACAUUCUACAUUUUUGCAUCGCCUCUCAGUCGUCGUAUGCCUGGUGCUGUGUUUGUGAAUUGUCAAUAGCAGGUCAAACUCUAAAAAGAGAUAGGAGUGACGCAGGCCGCAAGGUACUAAGGCCAUCUCCAGCAGUUGGAGUUAAAAUAGCUAUUCAAAAAGUAUCAAUCUCUACUUUAACUACUGUUUUUCCAAUAUUCUCUCCAACAGAUUUACUAUUCAACUCUUUACUUACAUUUAAAUAUUAUUUUUUAUUCUUUUUUUAUUAUAUUUUUUUUUAUUCUUUUAUUCUCCUCAUUUUUCCUUCCUGAUCUUUCUUUCUUGUUCUUCCUUUCUCUUUUCAUCUGAAACACUGAGAGAGAGAUCGAGGGAUUUAGGGAGAGCUGGAGAUGGAGAGACCCGAGAGAGAACCGCUGAACUCGACUAACCCAGACGAACCCAGGCGAAACCCAUCAACCCGGUCCUCCAUGAGUCGAGCUCCGGUGGCCUGAGACGAGUUCCGGUUGAGCUAGGCGCAGAUCCGGCAGAGUCAGAGGUGAUUUCCGGUGAUUAUGAGCGAUUUCCGAGAGACAACCGCUGAACUCGACGAACCCAGACGAAACCCAUCAACCCGAUCCUUCAUGAGUCGAGUUUCGGUGGCCUGAGACGAGUUCCGGUUGAGCUAGGCGCGGAUCCGGCCGAGUCAGAGGUGAUUUUCGGCGACUGGUAAAAUAGGUUGAUGAUUUUGGUUGAUGAUUUUUAGUUGAACCCAUCUGAUUUUGAAGCUUGAAUGUCUCCCCUGUUUCGGUUAUAUGUAUCACGGCUAAAGCUAUAUUUAUGGUUGAUUUUGAUGA